UUCCCUUACCGCUGAUGAAAUAUUUGGCUCUAAUAUUCAGUCACUCAAAUAAAAGAAAUACUCACUCACUUUAUUCCAAAAAAAAACCUUACUCGCUGAAAUGGAAAAACUCACGCAAGAACCCUAACUCUUGAAUGUGGCCGUCAAUCCCAUCUCUCCAAUUCCUUCAAUCCCUAAAUCAUUCUCUCUAAUCACUUUGUCGUUCUCUCCAAUCGUUACCAUUCUCUUCAAUUUCAUCAACUUCGAAUCGACGCUGCCUUCGAGAAAUAGUUGUCGUCACCUAACUCGUUACACGUUCAUGUUGCUUCUUGAGGUUACUUACUUAGCAUGAAUGAUGAAUCCCAAGUUUGAGCACAUAUUGUGGAGCUAAGGUUCAGCUCAUAAUGUACACUGCAGCUGGUUUAUAGGUGGAACAUUGACACUCUUUAUCUCACUCUACAACUUGUUAAUGCAAAUUACAACUGAGAUAAGGAUAAUAGUAGUAUAUAUCUCAUACUUACAAACUUAUCAUUUUUGUUAAAAUUGAAUAUUGAACUAGUGGUGAAGCUAAUGGAGUGAUUCAUAAAGUGAAAUAUUUCCCCUACUUUCAUGAAGAAUUAAUUGCCUAUUAUUAACUUGACAAUGUUGAGAUGCUGCAGAUCAUCAUGGACCUCCAAGGGUGAACAUUUGGCAGGAUCCACUCUCCCCAUCUAAGUGGAAAUAAGAGCAUGAUAAAUUGCAAGCUGAAAAUACCAUCUUAACUCACAACUAUUUCUCACUCUGCAAGUUUGACAUCUUCCUCCAAGGCUAAUGAGAAGAUGAAGAAAAUGCAAGCUGAAAUCAAUUCGCUCAAGGACAACACUUCAUAAGUUGAUAUAUUGAAGGAGCAAGUUGCAUUUUUAUUGCAAAUGCAAAACUCUAGCGAAAAUCAGGUAUCUGCAUUAGAAGAGUCACUAAAUAGUAGGUGUUUUGAGUCAAGCAAGCACUGAGGAUCAUGAAGCAACAUGACUAGGAAAUAUUUAGAUAUUUUUGUGAACUUCUAAUUUUGAUGUAAUUGUUUUGUAUGUUUAGUCACUUUACUAAUGUAAUUUUGUAUUACUUUAAUUAUUGUUUUAGUUAAGUUUUGAUGUAUGGAUGUUACUAUUGAAUAAAUUAUAUGAAUGAGAAUAAGUCAUUUAUAUUUA